CUUCUCUGGAACGUUCACCAAUCACAACAAUGGCGGAUGCAAUUCGGUCAGUUCACUGAAACGCACGAUUAACUCACCGUGAAGCUAAACCGCGUUUUAGACCAAAUUCAUUUUACAUUCGCAUCUUACUCGCGGUGAAACGGAUCCCUUAACGGCGUUCCUAUGACAAUUAGUCCGGUUUUUCUUAAGAUAUCCUACAGACAAACGCACAAAAGCAAUAUCGGCCGACAUGUAAGAUUUUCGUUCGGAGCCACUUUAAGGGGCCAAGCGGGGUCGCCGAUAGGCUGCGUGUGACGUGGUUGCGUUUAUUGACCAUAACCCCUUCCUACUCCCGUCUGCAACUUCACGACGGACAGGUGUACGACCCAAGAGACCGCAAAACAAUUGACCGAACCGACCGCGUCUUAAAAUACACGACGACAUUGUCAAACAGCCGUGAACUCUCUUGGAAUGUUCGGCCACCUUAUCCUCUUCGUUAAUGGUGAUCUCAGCCUUUUUUUCAUUCGAUAAUAUGAUCUUUCCAUGGAAAUAUUCAAUUUACGAGGAAACGGCGAAACUUACGCAGGUGAACACUCUAAAAGGAUUCACGUUUUCGAACUUCCGAGUUACGAAAACACUUUGAUGCAACAGACUUUGAAUUAGUCUAUAAUGUUUCAUUAUAUUUGUUAUUAUCUUCCAUGACAUUACGCUUCAAAGUUUUGCAAUAUUUUCGAACUCAUAUGUGCGGGACUCAGCGGUAUUUUCUAGGUUGUACGUAAAGGUGUUGCAUAAUUUGGUUGCAUCCUAUGCUAGAGGUAUCUAGAACAGUAG